AGCACGUUAUGUGGGCACUCUAAGGAGACUGCCGGUGACAAACCGGAGGAAGGUGGGGAUGACGUCAAGUCAUCAUGGCCCUUACGGCCUGGGCUACACACGUGCUACAAUGGUCGGUACAAAGGGUUGCCAAGCCGCGAGGUGGAGCUAAUCCCAUAAAACCGAUCGUAGUCCGGAUCGCAGUCUGCAACUCGACUGCGUGAAGUCGGAAUCGCUAGUAAUCGUGAAUCAGAAUGUCACGGUGAAUACGUUCCCGGGCCUU
rnacentral:rRNA from 1 species